rnacentral:rRNA from 1 species
GCGUGACCAACCUGCCCCAUGCUCCAGAAUAGCUCUUGGAAACGGGUGGUAAUGCUGGAUGCUCCAACUUGACGCAUGUCUUGUUGGGAAAGUGUUUAGUGGCAUGGGAUGGGGUCGCGUCCUAUCAGCUUGUAGGCGGGGUAAUGGCCCACCUAGGCUUCGACGGGUAGCCGGCCUGAGAGGGCGGACGGCCACAUUGGGACUGAGAUACGGCCCAGACUCCUACGGGAGGCAGCAGAU